rnacentral:rRNA from 1 species
GACGAACGCUGGCGGCGUGCCUAAUACAUGCAAGUAGAACGCUGAAGGAGGAGCUUGCUUCGCUGGAUGAGUUGCGAACGGGUGAGUAACGCGUAGGUAACCUGCCUGGUAGCGGGGGAUAACUAUUGGAAACGAUAGCUAAUACCGCAUAAUAGCAGUUGUUGCAUGACAACUGUUUGAAAGGUGCAAUUGCACCACUACCAGAUGGACCUGCGUUGUAUUAGCUAGGUGGUGGGGUAACGGCUCACCAAGACGACGAUACAUAGCCGACCUGCGAGGGUGAGAGGCAAAACUGGGACUGGGACACGGCCCGGACUACUGGGGGAGGCAGCCGUAGGGAAUCUUCGGCAAUGGACGGAAGUCUGAACGAGCGACGCCGCGUGAGUGAAGAAGGUUGUCGGAUCGUAAAGCUCUGUUGUAAGAGAAGAACGAGUGUGAGAGUGGAAAGUGCACACUGUGACGGUAUCUUACCAGAAAGGGACGGCUAACUACGUG